rnacentral:rRNA from 1 species
AGUGAACGCUGGCGGUAGGCCUAACACAUGCAAGUCGAACGGCAGCACAGUAAGAGCUUGCUCUUACGGGUGGCGAGUGGCGGACGGGUGAGGAAUACAUCGGAAUCUACUUUUUCGUGGGGGAUAACGUAGGGAAACUUACGCUAAUACCGCAUACGACCUACGGGUGAAAGCAGGGGAUCUUCGGACCUUGCGCGAUUGAAUGAGCCGAUGUCGGAUUAGCUAGUUGGCGGGGUAAAGGCCCACCAAGGCGACGAUCCGUAGCUGGUCUGAGAGGAUGAUCGGCCACACUGGACCUGAGACACGGUCCAGCCUCCUACGGGAGGCAGCAGUGGGGAAUAUUGGCCAAUGGGCGCAAGCCUGAUCCAGCCAGACCGCGUGGGUGAAGAAGGCCUUCGGGUUGUAAAGCCCUUUUGUUGGGAAAGAAAAGCAGCAGGUUAAUACCCCGCUGUUCUGACGGGACCCAAAGAAUAAGCACCGGCAAACUUCGU